GGACCAAAGAAACGAGCAGACAAAGAUGACCCUGGGACAGGUAUAGGAGUCAAAGGAGCAGGUGGAAUGCUCUGAUUCGGCUUUCCAACGAUCUGGCAGAUUCAUUUCCAGUGAUGUGUCACCAGACAACAGUGGGAACAUGAAUGAAUUAGACAGAUCAACCACAUCGCCUACUCUGUGCGACUGAGCGCGUGUGACGGCGCAGGCUGGGAAAACAUCAGGGUCAUUUCCAAGAAUAAAAUCAACACCCUUCACAGGGAGUGAAGGACACACAGCAACUCUUGCGAAACCAGUACACAGGUCGCUCUGUAAGUGCACAUGAUGCAGCGGAAAUUUCACGCAACCCAUUU